rnacentral:rRNA from 1 species
CCUACGGGUGGCAGCAGUGGGGGAUAUUGGACAAUGGGGGAAACCCUGAUCCAGCGACGCCGCGUGAGUGAAGAAGUAUUUCGGUAUGUAAAGCUCUGUCAGCAGGGAAGAAAGAAAUGACGGUACCUGACCAAGAAGCCCCGGCUAACUACGUGCCAGCAGCCGCGGUAAUACGUCGGGGGCAAUCAUUAUCCGGAAUUACUGGGUGUAAAGGGAGCGUAGACGGUGAUGCAAGUCUGGAGUGAAAGGCGGGGGGCCAAACCCCCGACUGCUCUGGAAACUGUGUAACUUGAGUGCAGGAGAGGUAAACGGAAUUCCUAGUGUAGCGGUGAAAUGCGUAGAUAUUAGGAGGAACACCAGUGGCGAAGGCGGCGUACUGGACUGUAACUGACGUUGAGGCUCGAAAGCGUGGGGAGCAAACAGGAUUAGAUACCCCUGUAGUC